rnacentral:lncRNA from 1 species
ACCUAUAUGUGAUCAUCCAGGGCAAUCCCCCAACCAUUCGAAGCAAUAGAACGCCUCUGAGGUUUCUCCUAUGGAUGAAUAAGGAAUCGACUGAUCAAAGCAACCAAACAUACAUAUACGAAAAAAAAUUAGGGGCCAUAGCAUAAAAACUGAAUGUUUAUCUUCAAAGUAGCGCAAACAACACAAAUUUUCUAAUGUUAAACUAAGAGUUACAAUAUCUCAAACCACGUGUGAAUCUUGAACUUCACCAUUAAUCUCAAAAUACCACAUAAAAUCUCAAGUAAAGUCAAAACCCUUUCAAUGAAUAAAAAUCAUACAAAAUUCUAAAAUUUAAUGUUGAGAUGAUUAUAGUCGCAAGCUUUAGAAGCAGCAAUCAGGCCUUAAAAAUAAUAAUAAUAUAUAUAUGGUUUCUCUCUACAAAGUUAAGUCAUUUGACUCAUCUGGAGCAUUUUUGCCUCUGAGGUUUCUCCUAUGGAUGAAUAAGGAAUCGACUGAUCAAAGCAACCAAACAUACAUAUACGAGGGGGAAACCCACUUGAGCUCUUCUCGUGUUGUUAUUCCUUAACAAUUACCGACAAGGCAAUAACAAUAACGUGAUCAGAGUCUAACGUUAAAGUUAAGAAUCACCCCGAUCAUGUGUUAUCAAUAGGCAUGCACAGACUGAGACAGUACUGUAGCUUAGAAGCAAUGAUAUGAAAAUUGCUUUGAUACUGGGCAUGUUCAGAAAUGAAAUGAUUAUAUAACAAGGGGCUGGAGUUCUGAGCUGGAGAGGCUUGGCUCUGUCCAAAUUCUUGCAUGGCCUUGUAAAUCAGGUGGCAAUAUUGUGAAGAGGCGAUUUAAAAUUAAAAGACAGCAGAGGAACUCAAGGUCCUCCAACGAAGAAAUGGUCAGGUCGCCUAAAGUACAUGGUGCCAGGGGACUGG